GACGAACGCUGGCGGCGUGCUUAACACAUGCAAGUCGAACGAUGAAGUUCCUUCGGGAAUGGAUUAGUGGCGAACGGGUGAGAAACACGUGAGAAACCUGCCUUUCAUUUUGGGAUAACUCCGGGAAACCGGAGCUAACACCGAAUACUCCGUCUCGGCGGCAUCGCUGAGCCGGGAAAAAAUUAUGAUGAAAGAUGGUCUCGCGGCCUAUCAGCUAGUUGGUGAGGUAAUGGCUCACCAAGGCGACGACGGGUAGCCGGCCUGAGAGGGCGACCGGGCACACUGGGACUGAGACACGGCCCAGACUCCUACGGGAGGCAGCAGUGGGGAAUAUUGGGCAAUGGGCGCAAGCCUGGCCCAGCGACGCCGCGUGAGGGAUGGAGGCCUUCGGGUUGUAAACCUCUUUCAGUAGGGAAGAAGCGAAAGUGACGGUACCUAAAGAAGAAGCACCGGCUAACUAUGUGCCAGCCGCCGCAGUAA
rnacentral:rRNA from 1 species